rnacentral:lncRNA from 1 species
UUGUCUUAAACAUUUAUUAAACAGUAAUACAUUAUUGUAGCAUAAAAUAACCAUUAGAAUCAAUCAUUUCCUGACAAAACCUGAUUAACAAAUUUAUUUUCACUAUUAACCUAUAAUUUGAUUUUUUUUUUUUCAAAUAAAAAAAAAAAUUAAGAAUAAUUUACUCUGAAUAUGAAAAGGAAAUAUUGCUGUCUUCAAAUUUUGACCUAACACUAUUUCUUUUACAGAACUCAUUCAAUGCUUAGGUUAGAUGAGUAACAAACAUAAUUUACUCGAGUUAUAUCAGUUUUACAGGAAAAUUCUGUCUUCAAUUGUCCGUUCACAUAAACAAGAAUCUUCUUGAUAACUUUCACGUGAAUCCUCAGUUAAAAGGUGUUUUGGAAGUGGUCGUUGACCACGUCUUUAUCCUUUUAGACUGUUUCUUUCCCCCAUUUACCAUGGUGACGGGUAUUCAUUACAACCUUCGACUUUGGUCCUCUUGGGUUGAAUUGGAAAGUAAUAUUUUCACUGUCAUCUUUAUCCUCUAGAAGAUUGACAGCAAAACCAC